rnacentral:lncRNA from 1 species
UUUAAAAUUUUGCAUGUUUUUCUUUUCAACUGGAUGACAAAGAUUUACAAACUGGAAACAAUGUAAGCAUAACACAAAAAAAUAUUCCAUUUUUUAAUGGAAAACCAAAAUGUGAAAGUUAUGAGUUGCUGCUUAGGAGGUUCAGUUCAGAAAAGUUUGGUACUCAUAUUUUAUUCACCGUAAUUACUGUACAUCUACAUCAUACUUAAGUGCACGCUGGUAUUUUCUUUGGCUUCAUGAAAAGGUGUGCUUCCUUUGUGGAUGUGUAUUCAUCCUUGAAGUAGUGAAAAUGAACAGUGCCUCUUGGGUAACCAAUUUGAAAUGAACUGAAUUUGAUCUUAGUCCCUUGCGUGGUUUCUCUCAUCCCUGCUUCUUUCUAUACUGCCAAGUAGUGAUCCAGUAGGAGUUGACUUACAGAAUAGUGGUGCUGAGGACCAGUUUUAGACGGUGAGGAGUUACUUUAGGUAAGCUCUAAUUUGCUCCCAUUGACUUACUGCCCAUUAGCAGCUGGAGCACAUCUGCUGCUUUAGUUUCAUCCAGAAGGAGUCCAGUUUGUGUACUCUGAGGUUGUUCUUGGAUGUGAAUCGAAGCAUAGUAAGUGCUUCGAAAGCUUACUCUUGAUCCAGACUACAUAAUGCAUUUAUGUAUGAAGACUAAGCAGACACACCUCAUGUUGCCUUAGAGAAGUUUUCUUACUUAGAGCUUUUCUUUGCUUCUGUCUUGUCUUUCUUUCCCAAUUAGAUUACUGCCAUCUUAUUCUCCUCUAAUAAUUUUCUCUUGUGCUGUAAUAUUUUCUCUUUCCCGCAUAAUUCCAUCCUUGGUCUUUCCUCAAUUCAUUUGGGCUAGUGCUAUACCCUUUAUUUUAAAGCAAGAAAAGAGGCAUUUCUUUGGCAUAUGGCAGAAGAUAUAUCAUCUAUAACAUCAUAGUCAAUCAUGCAAACAAAUAUUUCCAGUCUGUAAAUUAGUCUUCUUUAUUAUGGUUAUUAGAAGUAGCAGCUAUCUUCUUUUCAUAUGUUCACUGUUUUUUGGGAUGAUGAUGAUGACCAUUAAAGUGUACCAGACCUCUGUUAGAUAUUACAGUGAUGAAACAAUAAAUUGGCUUGCACUUAUGAGUGUAGGCCUGCUAGGUAAACAGAUACAAAUACAAGACAGCCUGAAGUUGUGUAGGAUACUUAUCAAAAUUUAUACAGUUAGAAUAGUCUAUAGUUUAUUAAACAGUACUAUUGUUUGCAUAUUUUGUACGUUCUAAAGGUGAGCACAAUACAGUGCAAAAAGCAACUAUUCAGUGAACUUUAAUGGAGGUAAGCAAAGAGACAAGCGAAAAUAAAGGAAAACAUUAAAAUUUACAGAAACAAAAGUGAAGUGCUGUGAUUAACAAUCAGAGAAUAUUAAAGGUACUUUAGGAAAGAGAUAUUGCUGAAAAAUAGUUUAAGUUAAUUGAUAGACUCUGGUAUCUCAUGCCUGAGACUGAGAGGAAAGCUGCAAAUUGCUUUCAAGUUUUCUUUGACUAUUGCUGUCUUCUGCAAGCUCAUGCUGUCUUCUAUCCUUCCCACAAACUGGGAGUUUGUAAACUAAGAAUUUUCUCACCCAAGAGAGAAGAAACUUGAAAUUAUUUAAAAUGAAGAAGAGCCUGAAUGAAUUAGCAGUGAUGAGCUUAAGGCACAGUACUUGCAGAUGAGUUUAACAGUUGGACUACUUAACAGCAGUGACAUGUAUUUAUAGCAAUGCAGCUAAAGGCACGAUCACCUGGGGAUUUAAUGGGUUUUUACUCAUAGAAUUUCGCACUGACAAUAAUUUGGCCUGGAUCAAGUAUUUGUUUUACAGUUAAUACAAUGGGUAACUCAUUAGAGUGACAAUGAGCAGGCUUCUUAAUGGGAGAGAAAGUUCAGAAUGUGGCAACGUGUGCAAAGGCACAACUCUGCCAUCCUUGUCUCAGGGUAUAUCCUUCCUGCUCUUGUGGUACUUUACCAUGCAUCGCUGUGCUGCCAGAAAGCAAUUAUUAGCUUAUCAUUAUAACUAAAAUUAAUAUGGGAUGAGAAUAAACAAUACACCAGGGGACUCAUUAUUUGUCUUCCAGAUGCAGGGGGUGAAGAAUAUAUGGGAGUAACUGUUUGCCUUACAAUAGUAGUAUUCUGAUGGCCACAAUCCAGGCCCUGACUAAUAUCUUUGAAAUGCUGAGGACAGAAGUUAAACAGGCAUCUAGAUCCCGGACCUCGCUAGGGAACCCCUAAUUAGCACAUGGAGGGCGAAAAGCGAGGGAAGCACUGAAACUUGAAACCAGGCCAAGAGAAUAAAACCCACAGGGUUUGUGGCUAUUGCAGGUAAUAACAAAGGGAUCGUGUCUAUAGAAGGGUGAAGGAGAGAGUCCAGGGAAGGGUAAAUCAAGAAACCAGAAGAUCUGAGGAGGCAGAUUGGGAUCUGGCAGGAGAGGGUUCUGCUGCAUGUUUUGGUCAUGACUUAGGGAAGGCACAGUCACCGAGUGAUGGAUCUGCACCAAGACUUGCCUCGGUCUUUUCUGCAUAAGAACGUGCGGAAGAAUGAUGGUUGGUGCAAGGGGAAGCCAUGGAAAGCCAUGAGUGCCUGUUCAGAAAUCCAGUGGGAGCAGUUAAUAAUCCCUGUGUACUCAAGUCCUCUGUUUUUCAUGGGAUAUGAAGAGCAGAUAAUUGGAAUUUCUGCAGACAUCAGAAGAGAUGCCAAGGGAAAAGACAGGGUUGUUGUACAUGAAAACACACAGCCCUAGAACCAGACAUCGUGCCUUUCUGGGAGGAGACUCUGCCAGACUUGCUUGCAUCAUCUUGCUUGGAUUUGCAGGGUGUAUCUCCUGAGAUAACUACAGCUUGAUUGAUAUUCUCACUGAAAAGGUAAAAUCACUUCCCAGAGCUUUUAACAGCCUCGCGUUUACAAAGAGUAUGAGUGUUUUUCACUCUUGUCUUAGAACAGUUUUCUAGCCUCUUUUUGAUUUGUAAACUAGUUAUUUUAUUUUCAGCUGGCAACAGGCAUGCUUUCUAUCUUAAGCUCCCCGAACACAGGGGUUUCAUGGACCACAAGAUGAAAACAGUUGCAGUGCAAGGCAGGACAGUGUUUUCCUUACGUUGUGUUUAAGGAAUCAUGAAUAGAAUAUAUCCCAUCUGAUAUACUUGUUUCCAAUUAUGUAUUGUAGUAAAAAUAGUAAAGAUAGUAGAGCUUUCAUAGUGAUUCAGGGUGCUGUUAUACUAAAUGUUGUACAAAUACAAAAGUCAGUCCUAGCACCAAAGAUUUAGACUUCAAGUACUGACAAGUGACUGCAGAUUGAGGAGGAGAAUGGGUCAAACAAGACAGUAGGACCACACUAGUGCUGUUAUCAGAGAUGCUUGUGGAUGUCCUGAUUAUUUACAUGAGUCUCUUCCAGAAAGGAUUAAUUGAGAAGUGAAGACUUAGGCAGUAUUUCACCCUCUCUUAUUUCCUGCCGUUCUCCAUAUACUGCUUAAACCCCUCACUUCUGUGCAGCCCAGGUACAGUUCAUCUUCCCUGGCUUUACCCAUUUGAAAGCUCAACAUCUGGUGUAAAAUAAGUGUCACUGCUCUACCUUUACUCAGUGGGGAAACAGACACAGAACAGACAGACUUUGAUAGCAGCAGCCUUUACUGUGGGGCAGGUAAAUUAUUUUCUCAGCAUCUUUUGUCUAUCUGGCUAGUUUUGUUGUGACAUCUAACUUUCAUACAGUUAAAAUUAGGUGAAUGGAAUCCUGUGCCAGGUCUCCUCUUUGACUAAAUCCCUUAUUAAGUAUCUAUGCAUUUUUGAAGCAUUAAAAAUAAUAAUUGUGGAAAUGUGGUUAAACUUCAAAUUCCCAAAGAUACCCAGAACUACUGCUUCUAGAGAUAAUGUAUUUGACCCUGGUAACAAACAGAAGUUGCACUCCAUUUCCCAUUGCCGAUGUCACCCGUAUAACAAUAACAUUUUUGUGAUGGGGGCUUAGGCAAAGAGAACCAGAUUCUACAUUUUUUCCUAUGUCCUGAGGAAAUUUUCUAAAUAUAAAGGCCUCAGUAUUCUAUAUUUUGGGGAAAAAAAAAAAAAUGCAGCACAGGUUAUGAACGCUUUGUUAGUAUAAAACGUAUUUUUAUCUGGAGUUGACCUAACAUAUGAAAGUCCUCAAUCAAUACCGUCUUCUACACCCAAAUGUGUGUUGUGAAGGAAGCAGUGAAAGAGAAUAAUUUUAAAAGUCUUCUGCACAGAUUUUCCUACCAGCUGUAGUUCCGAUGAUCUCUGAGCUGCAGCAUUUAUCUGGGUGUAUCCACAGGCACUGAUCUAAAUGUCAGCCAUGCUGACACAAGUAUUUAACUGAUGGUCAUUUUAGCAGUUACCACGAUUAUCUCAAAAUGACGAGCAGUCUCACCAAUUUCCCAAGAUGCAAAAGCCUCCCGUGUCCUCAGUGCAGACAUCAAAACCUCUUGCCAACUCUCUUUAGCUAUCCUUUAAUGCUGAUAUGUGCUUCCAGCAAAAAGGACUGUGAUACAAAGACCAUUAAGGAGAUUGAGAUGUGGUUUUCCAUGUAGAAGUACCUUAAUGAAGAGAAACUAGUAGGUACUAGGUG